rnacentral:tRNA from 1 species
GUCCGGGUGGUGUAGCGGUUAACACAUCGGCCUGUGGAGCCGAAGAUCCCGGGUUCGAAUCCCGGCCCGGACC